rnacentral:rRNA from 1 species
UACGUAUGGUGCGAGCGUUAAUCGGAAUUACUGGGCGGAAAGCGUGCGCAGGCGGUUCUAUAAGACAGAUGUGCAAUCCCCGGGCUCAACCUGGGAAUGGCAUUUGUGACUGUAGAGCUAGAGUACGGUAGAGGGGGAUGGAAUUCCGCGUGUAGCAGUGACAUGCGUAGAUAUGCGGAGGAAAACCGAUGGCGAAGGCAAUCCCAUGGACCUGUACUGACGCGCAUGCACGCAAUCGUGGGGAGCCCACAGGCGGCGAUCACACCGGAGUCC